GAUGAACGCUGGCGGCGUGCCUAAUACAUGCAAGUCGAGCGAACAGACGAGGAGCUUGCUCCUCUGACGUUAGCGGCGGACGGGUGAGUAACACGUGGAUAACCUACCUAUAAGACUGGGAUAACUUCGGGAAACCGGAGCUAAUACCGGAUAAUAUAUUUAACCGCAUGGUUCAAUAGUGAAAUACGGUUUUGCUGUCACUUAUAGAUGGAUCCGCGCCGCAUUAGCUAGUUGGUAAGGUAACGGCUUACCAAGGCAACGAUGCGUAGCCGACCUGAGAGGGUGAUCGGACACACUGGAACGGAGACACGGUCCAGACUCCUACGGGAGGCAGCAGUAGGGAAUCUUCCGCAAUGGGCGAAAGCAUGACGGAGCAACGCCGCGUGAGUGAUGAAGGUCUUCGGAUCGUAAAACUCUGUUAUUAGGGAAGAACAAAUGUGUAAGUAACUAUGCACGUAUUGACGGUACCUAAUCAGAAAGCCACGGCUAACUACGUG
rnacentral:rRNA from 1 species